rnacentral:rRNA from 1 species
GAUGAACGCUGGCGGCGUGCCUAAUACAUGCAAGUCGAGCGAAUGGAUUAAGAGCUUGCUCUUGUGAAGUUAGCGGCGGACGGGUGAGUAACACGUGGGUAACCUGCCCAUAAGACUGGGAUAACUCCGGGAAACCGGGGCUAAUACCGGAUAACAUUUUGAACCGCAUGGUUCGAAAUUGAAAGGCGGCUUCGGCUGUCACUUAUGGAUGGACCCGCGUCGCAUUAGCUAGUUGGUGAGGUAACGGCUCACCAAGGCAACGAUGCGUAGCCGACCUGAGAGGGUGAUCGGCCACACUGGGACUGAGACACGGCCCAGACUCCUACGGGAGGCAGCAGUGGGGAAUCUUCCGCAAUGGACGAAAGUCUGACGGAGCAACGCCGCGUGAGUGAUGAAGGCUUUCGGGUCGUAAAACUCUGUUGUUAGGGAAGAACAAGUGCUAGUUGAAUAAGCUGGCACCUUGACGGUACCUAACCAGAAAGCCACGGCUAACUACGCGCCAGCCGCCGCAGUAA